rnacentral:rRNA from 1 species
AGUGAACGCUGGCGGCAGGCCUAACACAUGCAAGUCGAACGGCAGCACAGCAGUAGCAAUACUGUGGGUGGCGAGUGGCGGACGGGUGAGGAAUACAUCGGAAUCUGCCUUAUCGUGGGGGAUAACGUAGGGAAACUUACGCUAAUACCGCAUACGACCUACGGGUGAAAGCGGAGGACCUUCGGGCUUCGCGCGAGAAGAUGAGCCGAUGUCGGAUUAGCUAGUUGGCGGGGUAAUGGCCCACCAAGGCGACGAUCCGUAGCUGGUCUGAGAGGAUGAUCAGCCACACUGGAACUGAGACACGGUCCAGACUCCUACGGGAGGCAGCAGUGGGGAAUAUUGGACAAUGGGCGCAAGCCUGAUCCAGCCAUGCCGCGUGGGUGAAGAAGGCCUUCGGGUUGUAAAGCCCUUUUGUCCGGAAAGAAAAGCACUGGGUUAAUACCUCGGUGUUCUGACGGUACCGGAAGAAUAAGCACCGGCUAACUUCGUGCCAGCCGCCGCGGUAA